CCGAGAAUUUAAUUAUUAUUUAUAGAAACCGUCAAUGUACGGAAGCAAGUAACGAUUUGUUUAAAAUCUAACGGCUGAAAUGACGCUUAUCUUCUCCCUAAUCCCUACCCCCGGGAAAUGCGUUAAAGAUUAGGCAUUGUUUGUUUGGAGUGAAUUUAAUUAGACAGCUUCAAAUUCUUAAAAAUAUUAAAAUUACAGGAUCCUUUACGGGCAUUUUUUUUUUUAUUGAAAAGUAAAAAGGAGUAAAAUUACACCAAACAACAGUAAAAAUAAUCACAUAAAAUCACAGAUCGUAAACUUGCUUCCCAGUGAACUUCACCUCAAUUGGACUCGCAUUCUUUCCAAUUGACCUGAAAUUCAGCCCAACACCUUGACGCCCUGGGUUCACUUUCUCAGGAUAAACCCCAUCUUUAGGGUGCAAAUACUGAACUUCCCCAUUUGGAAACACCCUGUAAAACUGGUACUUAAUCUUGUAUUUGGACCUCAGCCUUGUCCCAAGAGCCAAGCACUGCUCUUUCCUAGCUAGCUUCAGCAAGUUAGGACCUUGCCUCAUAAUGGCUGCACCCCCAGUGGGCAUUUCAAAUAUUUGUUCCUUGGGUGAGUCCCAAGUGAUCACAUAAAACUCCUCCACCUGAGCCUUUCUCAGCAAACCACCGGUGCUGCCGCCAAAAAUUGGCGAUGGGGUGCUUGGGUCCAACUCCGGUGGUGUGAAGCCCACCGGAGCCUCCUCAGUUUUUCCCUCUGCAGCAGUAGCCUUGAUGGGAGUUAGAGGGUUGGAGUAUUUAAGGGGUUUAGCAGCAGUUGGGAUUGAGAUAAAGGAGGAUUGAUUCCAUGGCACGAUCACAUGGUUGCUUGAUUUAAUGGUGGUGGUGGGUGUGAAGAGAGAGGCUUGAGUUGCCAUUGCCAUAAGGACUUGGAGAACUGUGUGUGAUCAAGAAGAUAGAAGGAGAAAAAAGGAUUAUAGAUUUAUGAGGGUGGUGGAUCUUAAAGGAAUGGUAGAAAUGUGGAUAAGAUGGUAUAGGUUGGACCAAUUAGAUUGUCUGAUUUUGAUUCGUUGGCUUGCGAGGGCCAAUUAAAAUGCCGAUUUUGAUUUGUUGGCUUGCCUUACCCACACCUCAUUUCCUUCUUUCUUUUAAUGCGUUUCCUGCUUUAUUUCAGGCCUUGGGCCUGAUUUCUUGGGUCUGUUUCAUUGGGCCUGAUUCCUGCAAAUAGUUUUCCACUGGUAUUUAAAAAAAUAAUAACUUAGAAGAAUAGAUUAUUUAUAGAUAAUACUGCUAACUGCUAUGCAUUAAAAACAAGACCAUUGAGACUGGGAAGUAGAUAGAAUAUUUUCAAUCCCCAUCACCUGAAUUAGGUAAAAUUUAAAAGAAAGCCCCAAUAGCAUUUAAUACAAGGGCAUUAUUAUGUGACAAGGGUAGUCGUCCCAAAUUUUUUACACAAUGUACAACAAAUUUUAACGUGGGACAACACCAGCUGUUUACACGACUCAUUCGAACCUGGGAUCUUCCUCCCAGCCACAAAGGAUCUUUUCCCUGACUCCAGCAGCUGACCUUCUAGUCACAAUGGAGCCAACUAUUGUUGCACCAAGGUGAGCCCAUAUAAACAAGCUACAAGCAAUAAUUUACUUCACAAUUCACAAACUCCUCUCAACAAAUUCCCAAAUCCUUUCUUCCAUGUAAACUCGGUCCCUGUGCCGGCGUGGCAUGUGUCGUUCAUCUGGGAAGAUUAGUAGCUCAUAUGGUUUACCAGCUGCCACCAGCGCAUUCACAAGCCUUGCAGUGUGCCUAAAAUGCACAUUUUCAUCAAUCAUUCCAUGCACCAAUAAUAACUUUCCUUUUAUCUUGUGCACAUGAUGCAUCACAGAGCUGUAUUCAUAACCUGUAGGAUUCUGGGAGGGCAAUCCCAUAUAUUUCUCCGUGUAAAAUGUGUCGUAUCCAUCCCAUGACGUUACAGGAGCUCCAGCUCCAGCACAACGGAAGACGUCAGGAAACCUGGCGAGAAUCAUAGCUGACAUAUAUCCCCCAUAGCUCCAACCGUACAACCCAAUAUGACCAACUUUUGCUAGCCCUUGUUUGAUGAGCCAUUCAGCUCCAGCAAGCUGAUCAUCAGCAUCCACACCACCAGCAUUGUAUUUAAGAGCACCUUCAAACCUUAGCCCACGCCGAGCACUUCCUCUAUUAUCCAACUGUAAAUGGUGAAACAAUCAAGAUAAAAGUAUUUUAAAAACCAAUAAAUGGAUGUGAUUUGAGAUGUUAAUGGAAAAUAGCAAGUUUAUUUUUGUGUCAUAACACAUUAGCAUUUAAGCUGCUUACUGCAAUGCAUCAUAGUAUAAGAUGUCUCCAAACGUUACAUUCAAUAGCUAAACAUGUCCCUUUCCGUUGCAGGAAUAUUCAAGCAUGAAAGAACUUGAGAUUUCAAAAUACGUGUGCCUAAACAAGCACCUAGCAAAAAGAACACAAACAAAUAUCCAGAAAAUGCAAGUUUCCAUCGUUCAAAUGGCAGAAAAGAAUUAUGAUUAACACAUUAUGGAAACAUUGAGGUAGGUAUUCAAAUGGGCAGCUGUAAUGCGUUCAGACAGCAUUUUUGGACAAGACAGGUGUUUGGGAGAAAAAAAUACCACCACAUUCUACCCAAUUAAAACAGUUAUCAAAACCAAGUCAACAAUUCAGGUUUCCGAAUUGAAAAGACUAACCUUCCAUACCAGAAUGCCUUUGCUCCGUAGAUAUUGAGCUCUCAUGUCAACUGUAUUUAACCAAGAAUCAGAGACAUAUUGCACACCUGGACCACCAUACACAUUGAUCAAGGUUUUGUAUGGUGGUGGUCCAAAUUUUGUUGGGUCAGGCUUAUAUAAAGCUCCAUAUAAUAUGGUCCCAUCAUUUGCCUGAACCUGAACUAUCUUUGGAGGCUCAAGUUCAAGCCUCUUAAAUCGUGGAACGGUAGAUGACUGUUCAUGCAGAGGCAUAAUUACAGUUCCAUCAAGCAAGGAGCAUAGCAAAAUCCUAGGGGGACAGGCAAGGGAAUCGUGAAUAUCAACAAAAUUACGCAUGUGGUGAUCAAGCACAACCACAUGUUUCCCCUUACCAUGCGUUAAUCUCACUGGGCCAAGCGAGUUCUGGUUGCCAUCUGGGUAAAGUUUACAGCAGUAAAGGUUAGAUUGCAAAGGUCCAUCUAGAGUUGCAGUAAAAUACACAAGCCCUGCAGCCUCAUUUACACCAACAAUUUGCUCAACCAUCCAUUCGCCUUCAGUGAUAGGUGCCAAGCAUGGGCCAUUUGCAUCAUGGAGAUACAAAUGUCUAAAGCCUGUUUUUUCACUUGCCCAGAUAAAUCCUCCAGAAUAUUCAGAAACACCUUUAUCCAAAGGAGUGAAGCAAUCAUGUAAAUUAACCCAUGUAUCUUGUUCUUCCACCAAUAUAACUUUUCUUUGCCCUGUCUUAAUAUCAAAUUUCAGGAUCUUUAAUUUGGAGUGAGACCUGUUUAGAACCUGAGCUAUGAGGAUAUCUCCAUGCAUCCAGUUGACUCUGGCCAAAUAUUCCUCCUCGUUGUCCAGUUCUUUAGUUCCUCCACAGUCAAGAUCCAACCAUGUCGUAGGACCACCAGCAACAGAAACUACCCCAAGGCAAACUUUGGCAUUUGAAGCUCCUGCAAAGGGAUAAGCAUGGUCUUCCUGUGCCUCUACACCAACAGAACUUUUACCUUGGUGCAUUAUUCUAAAAAGAGGUAUCUUAGAUGAAUCAACUUCUGUGAAUGCAAUGAAUUUGCUGUCAAGUGACCACCAAUAUCCAUUUUUCCUGUCCAUUUCCUCCUGCAAUUGACAAAAUUAAAGAUCAGAGAAGAAAUAUAAUUCUACCCAGAGAGGAAAAGCAGUGACAACAGCAGCAGUGACAAAAUUAUAGAAUCAAUUUAAUGCAACUUAAAACGAGUAAAACUAGUAUGUUUGCAUCAAAAAGAGAAAUUAGUAAAGGUAACUCCAGAAACACGCACAGAGAAUCUGGGUUGCCAUCCAUGACUAGGAUCUGUGAUUUAGGAAACUUCAGGGGAAAGGUAUCAACAUAAUUUGCAAAAUCGAAAAAAAAAAAAAGGUAGACAGAUUCCUUUUUAUACGUAACGAAAGCAUAUAAAUUCACUUCACUAGAUACUUGUCUGAACGUAUUUACUUUCAACAACCCUUAAAUCUAUUUCUCUUUAUGUUAUGGCAUCCAAAACCAACUCACGUUGAACUCUGGAAUAAGACCACCAGUCUUUUAAGUAUUAUAAUCCCCAUCUUCAAAUUCUCUGAAUGGACUAUGGAUUUGAUUAAUCCAAAGAGACAUCCACCAUACACCAUAGAGUUUUUACACACUCAUAGUGGAGCAAAUCAUUAACUGUCUCCUUUGUUAGAAUGCAUGAUUAACCAAAAACUCCCUCAUCAUAAAGUUAUUUAUCAUUAAAUUCUCCCAAGAGCCUCCUUAAGCAAACAUGACUCUUUUGAGAGAUGAAAAGGAAAACUAUUUGCAAAACAGAGAACGUCUAAUUUAAUGCAUAUAAGGAAAAUGAAAAGGAAAUAAUUGGAUAUAUUUCUCACCUGAGCUAUAUAUUCAGCAAGGCCAUGAGUCUGCAGGGGCAAAAAGGAAGGCUAUCAACUUCAAAGCAUAAGAGCAUUAAUAAAAAAAGAAUUUAUUCACCACAAUGCAAAGUGUCAAUUUUUGUUCCUAAAAUCAUAUGCAUCUACAGAAGAAAAUUGAAGAAACCUGUCCUGGCACCAGAGCCUCAGCAAUGUAAGAACAAGCCACAGACCCUCCUCUAGAAAACCACUUCAAUUUCAAUGUUACAGGGAAAACAUAAUAUGAAACAAGAAUAAAAUUGUCAACAUCCAAAACUAAAUUCCAGUACCACAUUCAGACAAGUGUUCCACAGUUCUACCAUAUCACGGUGGCCCGGGUUAAACUUUGCAAACACCUAAGAGUAAGUAACGGAAAAUUUAGAGAUAAGCUGAGGAAGAGUAUGAACUAACAACAUCUUGAUUUCUUACCCAUUACGGAACCUAGUAUCCUGCAUAACUUUAAAUAUCAGGCAUAAGUGGAUGCAAAAAGAACCAAAACUGGAAAAACAUAUUGGUAACAAACUGCCCUACAUAUAAUGUGCAAGUUUGAAAGUAAAGAACUAGUUGGCAGUGAUUUAAUCUGAAAAUAUGCCCUGGACAGAGCUGCAGUGUAAAGAAGAAGCAUACACUAAGAACCACCUAGUUAGACUUGAAGUGCAUUGUGAAAUUAUUACAGAGCUGUAUAAAUUAUAAUGCUUGAUAUCGUAAUCUAUUGGACCAUUAAGAGUCAAGAUGGUAGAAGAACAUAUUUCUCUUUCAACCAGACCACCAAUAUCAUUAAGACAGAAUAAAAAGACACAAAACAAACAUGUCAGUCACUCAACCUAUGCCAUGAUGUAUUAGUUGAGAUGAAAUCUAUGCUUAUACUGCAUCACAUCCAAUGAUGAUUACAAAGAUUGAACCUUGUAAAGUUACCAGUUAAUUGAAACCUACCACUACAUUUCCCUGUGCACCAUGUGUUAGUUGUUUUGGUUCAUUGUACAAGAGAUUUAAAACAUGCAGCUCGCUAUCCUUCACAUAAGCGAGCAUAGUACCAUCCGGGGACAGAUGUGGAUCAAUAAUUGGUGAAAAUGGUGAGCUAGGAAGUUUAAGCUCCACUUUUGAUGAAUAAAGUUCCUGCAAAUAAAUCUGUAAACACAUAGGAAAUAAACCGUCAGCAGAGCUUAAUGAAUUCAAAUUUGUGGCAUAACCAUCCAAUGGAAUUCAAACUGAAAUACUUUCUGUUAAUUCUUUCUAUUCCAUAUUUCAUUGGAUUUGGCAAAAUCCUCUACAAAAUUAACUUAAAAAAGUACUGAACAUUAGAAAACAGUUUAAAUUAGCAAAUGCAGUUCUACCAGCUGCAAAACAUGAAAUGAGAUAUAAGCCAACUCUAUAAUAAUACCACCAGCGAGAAGUACCAAUGAGCAACUUUUAUUCCUUCGCCUUGGUAAGGCCAAUUAUCCAUGUAUAUUGUUUAAGGGAAAAAAGACACAAAGCAACAAUUACAAAACAAUCUCACCAACUAUUAUAAAUUACAAGAAAUAAGUGAACAAACCCCUGCAGGCAAAGGCACCAUAAUUGCUUUCUUCUUUGAGUUUGUCUUCACCCAUUCGUACCGUGUCACUCCAAGUCCACGUUCUCUUGAUCUCUCUCUUCUCAACUUCUCUUCUGGCGAUAUGUUACUCUCAUCAAGUCCACCAUCAGGAGGACUAAAAAACAGUUCCCGUUUACCAGUCUUGAGAUCAAAAGCAAACACCAUUCUACUCAAAUUUUGAUCGGGACUAAACAAGAAAGUUAUUAAAGUAUCAUCAGGACUGAAACUGAUUGAAGUGGGUGCAUCGUAUCCUGGCAAUGGGGAUUGCACAAUAUCCUCAACAGGGAAAAAAAUGCAGUCAUCAAGAUUUUGAGGAGCUAUGGUGUCAGUCACAGGCAUGUCGUUACUGAAUGAUCUCAAACGCUUCAAUUUAUUGUUCUGGUUCUCGUUAACCGAUUGCAUUACAAGAGAACUAAAUGCUAUCAAUUAAAUUGGUAGAGAGCAUGAACCAAACCCUUCAAAUGAAAAAUCCAGAAGAAAGACAAGAUUAAAAGCUAUAUUAUCUGUGUAAAAUCACAAACUGACAUUAAAUGAACUAAAACAGCGUUAAUUUUAAUAUCGAUCUUUUCCCCCCAUUUUCUGAGCAAUAAAAUGUAAAACUAACUCUUUUUUUUUUAAAAUAAAAUAAAAUCAUUUCCAUUUCGUGCUGAUUUUCUUCCAAACACACCAAGGAAACAAAGAAAGCAACAUAUUUUACCUGCUAAGAAACUCCAAGGAUUAGUUCACUAAGGAAGCUCUCUCCACGACGAGAAAUAAUCAGCUGGAUCCUGUAGUAGAAUAUGAAACUGUAUCGCCUCCACAAUCAAAACUUUCAUUAUCUUUUCCAAAGAGGACUUGGAUUGGAAUAACAAAAACAAAAACUAUCAUUCAUUGGAAAAGACAAUGGAAAUGAUCGGCCAUGAGAGGGAAAGAAAGAUUCCUGGGCAGAUCGAGUUAUUCGAUUAAAAAUCUGAAAUUGAAGAGGAAUAAGGAAUUGGAUUCUGAGCUUGGAGUUGGAGAUAACUGGAAGAGAUCUGCUGAAAAGCUGAGCUCCUUUUGGUUGCUGAUUGUGGACUUUUAGCUUCCGAACUUGAAAUACGUUAGAUUCCAAGCUAAAACCCAAAGUCUGUUACACUUCAUUAUUACUAUUAUUUUCAGCACAUUUUAAUCUCUACAAUUUUAUUAUUUUAUCAAUUUUUUCCUUUUUAAUAAAGAUUAAUUUUUUUUAUAAAAUUACAACUUUAAUUGUAAAAUAAUUGUACAAUAAAAUAAUGAUUUUUUUAAAAAUUAAAAAUUAAAAAAUAAAAAAUAAAAUUUAAAAUCAUUCAUAUUUAAAUCAUUUAUUAUUAUAUUAAAUUUAUAAAUAUGUAUAAUAAAAUAAUAAUAUAUUUGCAUAAUUAUUUUGAUACAUAUAUUUUUUUUAAUAAUAUUUUUAAUUAAGUAAAUAUUUGCAUAACAGCUAUAAUAUCCAUAAAGAGGAAAACGACAAUCACAUUAGAAAGUUCUACACACAAAAUGAAAAUUAUAGAUAAUAUAUUUAAACUUAUCAAAGUAAAUAAAAAAAAUAAAAAAUUGUUGUUGAAUAAUGGUCAUAAUUUCAAAUUAAAUUUAGAGUAGUAAAAUUAAAGUAAUAAUAAUUGUGAAUUGAAAUAAUUAAAAAAAAUGCACUAAAUCAAAUCUUUAAGUCCUUCGCCUGUCAACUUUACGCCUGCCAAGGGUCGCCAAAGUCAAUAAGCAAAUUUUAUAGGUAUUUAAAUUAAUGAGUAAACUGUAAUUUAGUCCCUCUGUUUUAGUGAAAUAUAAUCUCUCGUCCCUCUAUUUUAAAAAACCUUCAAUUUAAUUUUUUACAUUUAAAAAAAUUAUAAAAUAGUCCCUACCGUCAAAUUUUCAGUUAAUAUUCCGUUUAUUUUAAUGAAAAUGACUAAACUACUCUUUAAAUAAAAAAAUUCAACCAAACAGUAUUCACUCCAUUUCAACACAGGAGGAGGAGGAGGAUAAAGGAUCAGGAAAAGAAUGAGAAGGAAGAGGAGGAGAAAAGAAAAAAGAGGAUUGGGAGGAGGAGGAGGAGGAGAAGGAGAAGGAGAAGGAAGAGAAAGGAUCGGGAAAAGAAGGAGAAUGAGAAGAAGAAAAAGAAGAAGAAGGAGGAGGAGGAGGAGAAAAGGAAGAAGAGGAUCAGGAAAAGAAGGAGAAGGAUGAGAAAAAAAAGGGUAGUUUAGUCAUUUUUAUUAAAAUAAAUUAAAGGUUAACUGAAAAUUUGACGGUAGAGACUAUUUUACAAUUUUUUUAAAUGUAAAGGAUUAAAUUGAAGAUUUUUUAAAAUAGAGGGACGAAAGAUUAUAUUUUACUAGAGAGAUUAAAUUGUAAUUUACCCUAAAUUAAAUUUAUAGUUGAUGUGACGAUUACCCAUAACUGAUAAAGCGAUUUAUUAAAUUUUAAUGUUUUUUACCUUAUUAAUAUGGAAAAUUAUUUACAUAUAUGGAUAAUAUUAAAAUUUUUUAAAUAUAUUUAUUCCUACUAUAAUAAAUUAAACAAUUUUUAUAAGUUAUAAACCUAUUACUUAAUUAAUAUUUUUUAAAUAUAUUUAUUGAAUCAUUCACAUUUAGUAAAUUUACAAAUUGAUCUUAUAGUAAUGAAGAGAAAGAUGCAAACACAUUCCUUAGCUUUAGAAUGCAAAAAUUCGUUUACAUAUGCAAAUGGACUUCUCAUACCCAUUGUUAAGAAAUUUUGGCUGUUUUAAUUUUUAAUUUCUGUUCAUCGGUUUCAAAUGAAAUAAUGAAUUUGCAAAUAUCUGUUACUUAAAAAUAAUCUGGUGAUAAUAGCGCUAAUAAUCUGGUGAUAAUUAGGGGUAUGCCCUCCUAAUUUUCUGUAUGAGGCUUUGAUGAUGGAUUUUAAUAAUAUGCGCUAAUAGCGCGAAGCCAAACAUUUUCAAAAAAAAAAAAAAANNNNNNNNNNNNNNNNNNNNNNNNNNNNNNNNNNNNNNNNNNNNNNNNNNNNNNNNNNNNNNNNNNNNNNNNNNNNNNNNNNNNNUAAAUGGCAGUCGAUUUCUGAUAAAGAAAAAAAAAAAAAGGUUAUGGAAAUGAGGGGAAAGUGGGUUCAUAUCCUUGUCUAUAGCAAGAAAGAAAGAAAGAAAAAAAUGAUGUUGCUUUCAGUUACUUUCUUUUCUGGGGCAACAAAUAUCCAUUUUCUUUUCUUUUUCCAUUAUCCAAACCACUUUCUAAUAAAAUCUAGACAAUUCUAAAUAUUCUUCUGUACGAGGGGCUACCUUUCCUUUUCAUGCAUAUUAUUGUCUGUUCUGCUAUUUUAUCGUGAGUAUAUUGUUCGAUAUAUUCACGAGUAGUUAUUUUCUCAUACCCAUACUGAUUUUGAUAUCAAUUAUAAUAAUUUAAUUUCUCAAAUAAUUUUUACACUUUAUCUAAAAUAGAUAGAUAAUACUUUCUAAGCUAGAUUAUACAUGUUACUAACCAAUUUGCAAUUUUGCGGGUGGCUGGGUCCCACGCUGUAGCUCAAGUCACCCACUGCUUCUACUUUUAAUAAAGUCCUUUGUGCAAAGUGUAAAAUUCUUGCUCAACUUUGAGGACCUUUCUGUGCUAAGAACUGGUGCACGGAUGGGCUUGUGCAAAGCCCUGGCCAAGCUAGAUUUGGCAAAGGGUAAAGGAAAGAGGAGAAAUUGCUGCAAUCUGCAGGAUGCAGCUGUAGGAGUGAGGAUUAAUUGGCAAAUCAGUUUAGAUAUUUAAAAAGAUGGGCCAGAGCCCAGAGGUCCAACUUCAAACUCCACAUUCCUACAGCAAAGCUGAUAUUAAUACUUGUGAUUAUGGGAUGAUUAUUUCAAAAACUCAUUACACAGGUUUUAUGUCCCUAACAAAAUAUACAUUUUUGUUUCCGAGUAGAAUCUGAAAUAUACAAUUCCAGGUAUUACAUACCACAAAAUCUCUGUUACUCUGAUGUAUAAAUGCAAAAAGUUUAAACUAUAAAUCUUUACCAAGCUCCCAUUGGAGGAUUAUGUUAAGAAGUUCACAGCAGGAUGCAGUUGCACCAUGUAGACUAGAGCUCAGCUGCAAAAGUUGCUGUGGGCUUCGAGGGCGGGAUGCUUAUCUCAUGUUUCUAGCCCUUACAUUAAUGCUCAUAUAUGAGCUAUGAUUGCUGAUUCCAAGUCCUCUCAGUAAGUAUCAUGAUCGAGCACUUACAUGCAAGACUAGAUUUCCGUAUCUUCAACUUCAGAACGUAGCACAAAGCUGGGAAAUGACAAUGUUAUAUCCCUGGAAAUAAUAUAAAGGCAUGUCAAAUAUUAUUGAGGGACUACAUCAAUGUAAAAUAAUUAUCAAAUUGUGUUAGAUCUGCUACUUGCUUUAAAUAUGGUAGAGUCAUGUUCUUCAAGAGAGAUGGAGACUUUGACACUAAGUCCCUCCACUCUUCCAGAUCAAUCUUUCCAUCACCUUUUGUGUCUGCAUCCUUCCAAGUCUGCAAACAAUUAUUAGAGUAUGUAGGAAUCGCUACCAAGAAAUUAGUCACGAAAAGAAUAAAAUGGACAGUAGAUCGCCACAAAACUGCGAUACUACAAGCUUAGUGAUAUUUCUGAUAUUCAAUGGUGAAAUUCAGUUGCUUCACGACACAUUUUAAUACACCUUUAGUGGCAAUUCCUUCCGCACUAAAAUUUCGCUACAAAAGACUUAAUUUGUUGUAAUGAAUACCUGUAAACAAAUAAGACCAAUAUCUGAUAAGGUGUAUUGGAUGAAUCUGUACCUUAUCUACAAUCAUUUCAACAACAUCCUCCGAUAGAACCAGCUCCGAUUCAUGCAGAAGUGCCAGUACCAUCUCCUUUAACUAUCAGACAAUUAAAAGAUAAAUAAAUAAAACUUUGCACAAUGUAUCAAGUGAAAUAGAUGGUGUAACGUGAAAUGUUCAUGAUUUCGAGGAAUGUAAAAGAAGAAAGGUUAAAGGAAAGAAUUUGCAGUGCUCACCUCUUCCCGUUCAAUAAAACCAGUUUGCCUCAGAUCAUAUAAUCUGAAAGCGACUGCAAAAUGCAUUCAGUAGUUAGUGUGAAAAACCAUAUACUUCACUAACUAAUUUCCAGUUAUUACAUUACAUAUUAAUCUUACAUUUUAUCUUGUCUUCAAUUGGUGCAUUGGGAUGAAAUACACUCAAUGAACGGACAAAUUCUCCAAAGUCAAUCACUCCAUUGCGCUUGAUAUCAAAUAAAUCAAAGAUCUACAGAAAGAGGUGAAGUGUCAUUGCAGAUAUAAGCAAUAUUAACGAAAAUAUUAAUAUUACAUCUACAAGCAAGAAGAAAAAAGAUUACACACCCUGUCUGCAAAGAGAUUCCUUCUAUUUCUGUUCCUGAAGAGUGCAAGCUGAAAUUCUUCCUGAUCAGAAGAAAGCAAGCGCAGUUGCAACUGAAGUUAAGUGAAUGACCAUGUAAGGCAGAAACAGAUACCAAGUUAUAAUUUCCAUACCUUGUGAAUAAGGCCAUCGCUAAUUAUUGAGUUGCUUAAUUUCUUAAAAAGCUCAUAUAAGGCCUCUACUUCACUAACCGUAACUGCAUCAGACAAAUAUUUCAUACAUUCAGCAGACAAAUUUCACCAGGAAAAUUGCAAGAACCAGAAUGGUGAUAAUGCAAAUUACUCACAAGGUGUUUCAGCAGCAAGAACAGUGGGUUCCUCAUAUCCUGGUGUAUGCUUAUUCUUUUUCGAGCAAAAGCAACGUUUGAAAGCAACUAACAUGAUUCAAACACACAAGUUUCUGAAAAUCAGCAGGGUCAUGUCCGAGAUACUACUUGAAAAACUCCACCUGCAUCCAGUGAAUUAAGGAUAAAACUCCAAAUGUAAUUCAAGGAUGUUUAUUGAUCAAUUUGAAAUCUCUUAACUGGACGGCGGCUCCAGUACUCUUAUUAUUUAUGAUUCCAAUUGUAUUCAAUUUCAAUUUGAUUUGCGAUUGAUCAAAUUUGAAAGUCAAAUUUCAUUUAAAAAGUGAAAAGAAAGAAAAAGUUUGAUCCGGAACCAGAAUUUAAUAUUAUAAUCCAAUCAAAAUUAUGAUAAACUACAGGUUUGACCAAAUUCUGGUCGGAUUCCAGUCCAAAUCCAGGCUGGCCCAACUUUGAGAGCUUGAACCCAUUAUCUAAAAGAAAAAGUGAGCAAAAAGACGGAAGCUAUCCAUCCAUGAAAAAGAGAGGAAGCCUCAUGCAAAAGGUGACGUCUCUUUCAAUUGGCUGUCCAGCACUGUAAGAUAUUAUUAAUGUUGUCCAGGUCUAGGACACAGGCUGAGAAAUUUAAACUAAUUAAACAUUAAGAUCAUACAUCAUAAUCACUUUGAAACCGAUUUUCGAUAUUCGAAGGAAUGAAUCCAAGAGGUUUAGGAAUAUAUUAUGCACAUAACAUUUUUAAACUCCUAAUACCAACGAAGCAUAUACGUUAGCAGAUAUGAUCUUCUCUUUUAUAAAUAGAGAUUUUGGAAGGACUCUCAGGCUGUAAGUAAAGCAAUUAUCAAACUUAAGGAAUAAACUUUUGAUAUUUUUCAGAUUAAUACUUACUGAUGAAACGUUAGAAACCACAGGCACAUAUCUUGUAGGAAAGAGACAUAAAGAGCAAAAUUGUGAUGUAUCUGAAAAAUGAGAUUUAUUGCCAUGCAUGUCUAUAUACUUCCAAAACCUCUUUAAUUCGAAUGCCAAAGUUAAAGAUGUGGAUAUUAAGUCCUAACGUAACUUGCGGCUGAUAUUAAGGAAAACGAUAAUUCAUCCUGAAAGGAACAAUGAAUAAUGAAAGAUUUUCGUAUCAAUUUGAAAACUGAUAAUUCAUUGACAAAAAGAACGAUAGAGAGAGAGAGAGAGAGAGAAGAAAAACAAAAACUCCUUGCUGUUUGAAAACUGUGACUAAAUGAAAGUGUACACUGUUUGGUUGCUGAGAAAAUGCAAGAAUGGGAAAGAAAGCAUAAUUUAAGAACAUCUAGUUAAUUCUCUCCACAUAAGUUCCUCUUCAUCUGCACCUCACCAAGAAGAUGGGGAAAAUUUUAAAGAAAACCCAAAAAGAGAGAAAAAAAGCACCCAAAAAUCUACCCCAACUUAAAAAAAUGGGCUAAAAUUAAGAAGCAAAAAAGAAAUAGGAAAUGGGUGAUAAAAGAGAAAAAGAAAAGAGACCAACCUUUCUGAGAGUGGAAAGAAUGAGAUGAUUUGAUGUUGAGCUAUGCAGGAGCUUUGUUAAUAGAGAAAUAAAGAAGAAAGGAAGAAUGGGGGAUUGUUUGCUAGGUUUGGGAGCUUCUCUUCUCAACUCUGAUGCAGCUCAUAAAUUAGAGAGAAUCUCCUCCAUAAGAGCGGAGCUGUGUCAUCUGUCGUUUCUCUUCGGGGUCUGAAGAUAUAGCAACUCUAUUUUGUUUCCAUUUCAACGUUGGCUUCCUCUCAGCAUCUUGUAAGUUGUAAUAUAAUAAAAUGAAUACAUCGUAUCUACUGUACUGUACUGUGUACCCUCGCCCUGCACCUCCAGAAAUACCUAAAUUUAUACAAUAUUGUGAAAUCAACAUGGAAUCUCAAUUCGAUUUAAAUAAAAAAACUUUCCAUUAAAAAUCAACUCAUCACUAAAAUAAUAGUAAAAUUUAUCAUUAAUAUAAUAAAUCUAAUUAAUUUUAUUUAUAAUUCUAUAAUUCAUACGUGUGCUUGAAUUAAUUAUGAUAUUUUGAAGUUGAUUGAUAUUUUUUUUUAUACCUCCUAAUUAUAUUUUUAAAUUUAUCGUUCUUAAAUUUCAAUGAAAUUUAUAUAUUUUUAUUUUUUUAUAAAAGUAAAAUAUAACAAUUUUUUUUUAAUAAAUUGAAUGCAAUACUUAUAUAAGUAAAGUGAAAAUGAUUAAUAGUGUUAAUAAACAGGUGUACAUCUCACUACACAAGAUCUCAUAUCUUAUAAUUUGAUGAUCAAAUAACUUGUAAAUUUCAAUUCACUACUUUAAUUAAUAAGUAAAAAAAGAUAAGUGAGCUAAGAUUGUUUGGUUUGGUUUGGAUUAUUUAAAAAUCCACAGAAUAUAUAAUUAAUUUGAGUCAAAUAAUUAUUUUAAUUAACCAAAUCAAACCAUUAAUCACGAACACGUCUACUGCUUAUCAUCCAGCCGUAUGUUCAUUUGUAUAUUAAUUAACUUUAAAAAUAAUUUAAUAAUAAAAUAAUAUAAAUAUAUUUUUUAAUACAUUUAAAAAUAAUCAUAUAUCUAUUUUUAGAAUGGAAAUAAACCAUAAUUUUUUAUUAAUUCACGUCUAUCCCCAAAGUUGAAACAUUAUUUUAUACAAUAUUAAAAUGCAAUAUUGAUAAUUCAAAAUAUUGAUGAAAGUAAUAUAAUGGGAAGUCAAACGUUAAUGAGAUAAGAGUACAUUAAAACGGGUUGUUUGAAUUGGACAAAGUUAGGUGGAAUAAUAUUUGGUUCAAAUUAAAAAAAUCAAUCAAAUUGAAUUAAUUUAAAAUUUUAAUUUGAUUUUUUAUUUAUUUAAGUUCGGUCUGAUUUUUAAUUUUAAAAAUUUUAAUUAUUUUAGUUCCGUUCGAUUUUAAUUAAAAGAAUUUUAAAAAAAUUGAAUUAAAUUAAUAAUAAUAUAUUAUUUUCAAUAAUAUAGAGAUGUUAAAUCAUAUUAAGAUUAAAUUUUAAAAUAUUAAAAAUAAAGUUUAAAAAAUAAAAAAAUUUAUUAAAAAUUUAAAUUAAACUGAAUCGAGCUAAAUCAAAUCGGUUCAGUUCAAUUUCACUUCUAAUUAAAAUUCAUUCAGUUUAAUUUUUAUAAAUAUUAAAAUUUUAAUUUUUAAUUUAUUUAAUUUGAUUUAAUUUCUAAAAAGCAAUACGUAAAUUAGGUUUAAUUGUUUUGUUGUCAUCCACUUGUUAGGAAAUGUUGUUAUAUUGAAAGUCAAUUCAUUACGCAAUUUGUGUAUAUUUAUAAUUAAUAUGCCCUUAUCAGAUUUUGAUUUUUUUUUUUACAAAAAUUAUAUAAUUUUGACCUUUCAAGAAGCUUAAAGAUUAUUCAUCACAGCCACAAACAGCUUGCUUUUGUAUUUAACAUUUUAGGUAAAUUUCAAACACGUCACAAUUUAUACAAUUAAUUAAUUAAUUUUUUAAUUGGUAUUAAUAUAUGUAUAUCAUUUAAAUGAAGAGAUGUAAAGAAGAUUGAUGACUGAAAAGAUAAAAAUUCAUUACAGAGAUUUGAGAGUCCCACCACCCAAACAUAAUUAUUUGAGUCGGUUGUCUUUCGUGAAUCAUAUGUAUUACUCAUGCUGAUUUUUAUGGAAAAAUUAAUUUUACAAAUUUUCAUAAAUUAAUAUAUCAUUUUAUUUUCUUUAAAAAUAAAAUUUUUUAAAUUAAAAAAUUAAAUUCAUUUAUUUUUAAAUAAGAAAAUUUUCAAAAAUGAUUAAAUUCAAUUUUUACGAAAAAUUUUGCACUAAUGUUGUUUCUAUCUUCUUCUUUUAUGCUUUAUUUCUUUACGAUCUUUCAUAUCAAGAAAAGUGACAAAGUUUAUUAUUGGCAAUCUGUGGUUGUAAAAUUCCACACGAUUUUCUGAACAUAUCAUCUUUUAAAGGGAAAAUAUAUAUAUAUACUUUUGGUAACGUAGUAAAUGAAAAAAAAAAAAAAAUCUUUUGAAGUCAAAUAAUGCUUCCAAAAUAAGCUGCAUUCUUACGUUUAAAAAUCUCUUUUUUUUUUUCAAACAAAAAAUUAUAUUUUAAUUUUCUUCUAUUCAUUUAAAAAAAUAAAGCACUUGUCAUUUAUUUAAUAAAGUUGAUGUGAUGUGAUAUCUUGUUUUUAUUUUUAUUUAAUUUUUUAAAAAAAAUUUAUAAUUUAAUUCUGAAUAUUAUUAGUAUUAAUAAGACCAUUUUUAUAUUUUUAGAAUCCUAUUACAAUUCCGUCUAUUUUUUUUGUUAAAAAAAUAUAAUAAAAGACCAAAUUACUUCAUCCUCCUCAUUCUUGGUCUAUUCUUCAUCCUCCUCUUUUUAUUUAGUUCUUUUUUUUUUCUUCUUUUUCUUUUAUUUUUUUUAAUUUUUCUUUUUAUUAUUUUUUUUAAGAAGGAGGCGAUUUUUCUUCUUCUCUUAUUCUUCAUCAUGAUAUUUUCUUAUUUUUUUCUUCUUCUUUUCCUUCGUCAUCAUCGUCUUCUUCUUUUUCUUUUUUUUUUUGAGAAGUAUAAGGAAAAGAGACUAUUUUGUUGAUGGAAAGAAAUAAUAAGAAUAUUUUAAUACAUAUGAGAAUAGAUAACGACGUUUUAAUAAAUUUCUAAAAAUAUAGAGAGUAACUUGUUAAUAAUAAGAGUAAAAUUGGAUUUUAAAAAUUAUUUCUCAUUCUUUAUUUAUUUUUAACAGGAAAAUGACGUAAUGAUUAUUUCAUUGAUUGAGAGGGAAAAUAAAAACGUUUUAAUAAAAUUCUAAAAAUAUAAGAAUUGAUUUGUUAAUAAUGAUAAUAUUUAAGGAUUAAAUAGUAAAUUUUUCUUUUUUUUAAAAGGGUUUUCUUUGAUAGGAUUAGUAUGAUAAAGCGAACUUGCAUAGGCAAUGUAAGAAGAUAUAUAUAUUUAAUUAAGUUCUCAAAAUAUGUCAUGCUUUCCUAUAAGCUAUAUGUUCAUCAAUUUUUUUUUUAUGAAAAUAUUUUAUUUUUUUAAAUAUAAGAUACUAAUGUGCUAGUAGUCUAAUGCCUGUUUCUUGAUUGUCUUACAUAAUUUAAUCUUUCUUCCUUCUAUAAAGAUUAGAAGAAUUGUGAAUGUUCAUUACAAGGGAUAACAGAAAGAACAGGACAGACACUACCAACCUCAACAGAUAUUCAACUACACUUUCACAUGCUAUUAAAAAUCUUCACCUACCAACUUUCUUCACCUCUACAUAUUUGAUAAGCAAAUUUCCCUUUAUAUUAAUGUCUACAACAACAGUCACAGAGAAUCCUCAUGUGUUUAAUUUGGCUAUACUACUUUGAGAUUCAGGGAAAAAAAAUGGUGGUGAAGGUGUAUGGUGCAGCCUCUGCUUCUGUCAAUCGAGUGCUGAUUUGCCUCAUUGAGAAGGGUAUCGAAUUUGAAACUGUACCUGUUGAUCUUAACAAAGGAGAGAACAGAAAUCCUGAAUAUCUUAACUUACAGGUUUCUAUUUUUUUAUUUAUUCAUUCCCACUAGUCUGCCAACUGUAUGAUCUUUGUUCAAAACGACUCCAAUAUGACUGAAUUUUUUUUCUUUUUUUCUGUCGUAUUCAUUCUGGCCUUGAUUGGCCCUGAAUUGCUUCUACUUCAUGUCAAUUCAAGCCUUUUGGAGUGGUUCCUGUAAUUCAAGAUGGAGAUUACACUUUAUACGGUAAUUGCUAAUGAAUUAUCCUCCAUUAAACUGUUUUAAGUAUAUAUUUUUAUAAUUGGACCUGAUCUUGAUGAGGAUGAUUUCAUUUCAAUGUGUAGAAUCUCGAGCAAUCAUAAGAUAUUUUGCAGAAAAAUACAAGUUCCAGGGGACUGAUUUGCAUGGAAAGAGCAAUGAAGAGAGAGGGCAGGUGGAGCAAUGGCUAGAAGUGGAGGCACAGAACUACCACCCUCAUGUUUACAACUUAGCCAUUCACAUUUUAUUUGCAUCAGUCUUGGGAUUUGCUCCGGAUGAGAAGCUGAUCCAAGAGAGUGAAGAAAAGCUGGCAAAGGUUCUGGAUAUUUACGAGGAUAGGCUCGCCAAGAGCAAGUAUUUAGCUGGGGAUUUUUUUAGCCUUGCCGAUCUUAGCCACAUUCCCUUUAUACAUUACUUGGUUGGUGCCAUUAAAAAGGAGUAUAUGAUAAGGAGCAGAAAGCGUGUGAGCUGUUGGUGGGAUGAUAUUAGCAAUAGGCCAUCUUGGAAGAAGGUCCUCCAACUAUGACUAUUGAGCAUCUAUAUCCUUGUUAAGGGCUCUUUUUUAUACUGUCUAUUUUUGGGAAAAUUUCAUCCCUAGUCCUCAACCUUUUUGGGUUUUAUUUGUUGAAUCUUUAAAUUGAAAAGGAGGAGGAGGAGGGCAGACAAAUUGUGAAUUGAUCUUCAGAAAUUUAAAGAUCGGUUUGAGUUUAAAAAAUCUUGCAGUAUUUGUCUGAUAAUUGCCGGAAAUCUAUAAUUGCUUCAUAUUAGGUGCAUAUAGCAGAGAUCGCGACCGGUGGAGUAUUAUGUGAAAAAUCACACUAUUUGAGUUUGAUUAAUAUUUUUAAUGCGUAUAAUUAUUUAGAAUCUAAUUCAAAUAAUUUACUCUUCUCUCUUUAAGAUUUUCGUAUCCAUUCUCAAUCCUUCUGAUGAUUAAUUGAUUUUCUUCUUAUUUUAUUGACGUUAAAUAAUUAUCGUGAUAGCCUCAUGGUGCCUAUGGAAAUGUGCAAGGAACUAGCCAAUUUUUCAAAAAAUUUUGGCUCUCAAACAUUAGGUUUUCACAACACAAAAUAUUCUCAAACACACAAAUCUUGGAAUCGUUUUCAAAGUCACUUGUUUAGCUACAAAGAUUUGGUAUGCACACAUCAACUUCAGAAUUUUGUUGUUCCUUCCAUAUCCUUCCAGUAACUCUAAGCUUUAGUUCUUUCCUAUCACCUCCAGAAAAGAAAAGUGCCAUGUUUCGUUGAAUAAUGAGGCCAUCAUGACUAUCCCUCACCUUCCGAUGGCUAUCUCGGAUGCUUCGUGGAGAACCCUCCCAGAUGAGUUUCCUGCCAUUUGCCCCAACCUCAAGGCUAUAGCUAUAACUCCUAGCCUCAGUCUCAUCACCCAUGAAACGAAGGAAUGCCAUGUACACAGGAGCCACACCAAGCUGAAAGGCUUCAAAGUGAAGGCAGAAGUAUUGGCCAAAACAAUUAAACACCUAAUAAAAAUGCGAGCAUGACACCAAUAAUCAGGAAUCCAGGCAUUAAGAAGUAUGAAAAAAGUAAAUAGACAAAAAGAAAAGCCACAGAGGCAUUUGUUUAGCCAUUCAGCUGCUAUGAGUUCAGCCCAGAUAUAGAUGCAUCACGGCACAAUAAAAUAUUGUUGAUUGCUGCAAAUAUAUUAUACACUAAGAAGAAUGCUAAAAUUACCGUCAGCAUCCACGUUGCAUUCUCCACCUCAUGGGGAUUUGACUUGACAUAACGAUGGUUGAAAGUGCAUCCUGUGUGCAUGUCCACCUUGUGAUCAUCUUUCAAAUGAGAAACAAGGAAAGAAAUAUCUCCAACAGUCGAGCAUUCUGAACCAGCAUAUGGGCAAUUAUAUGGCCUGAAGUUGCAAACUACCUCAUGCUUGAGUUUACUGUAAUAUGGGAAUAUCUCUGGACACCCCAAGUUGCAAUAUUUGCAUGGCAAUUCAAGUGACUCAGCCACCUUCUCUAGCGCUAAACACCUAAUAUCUCCAAGCUCCUGCCGACAAGUGGGGCACCUAUUGUGGACCCUUGCUUUACAGGUUGAACACAGUGUGUGUCCAUUAUGACACUGCAAAAAAGCAAAAUAGUUAAAAACUUAAAAUAGAGACUCUAGCAGAGGCACAUAUACAGGUACACUUUAGUCUGCACACACCGGUAUUUUCAUUCAUCUAAUUAACUAGAGAUAUAUCAUUGUGUGCAUUCUGAAAGACCAUAACAUAGAUGGGACAUUCACACAAACCACAUGAAGGAAAAAUGUGCAAUCAGCUAAAUUCUUAAAUAGACCCUAAAAUCUACAUAUUCAAUAAUACAUAUAAAAGUACACUAGGAUAAAACCUUUAAAUGAACAAAAAAUGCAAUUGACUAUUAUUGAGCGGACAAAAAUGAUGACCUUAAUUCCUUAGUGUUUCUUAAAUAUAUAUUCUACGUGAAUUAAAUUCAUAAGCUUUCUUAUUUAAGAUAAAGGGGUAACCUAAAACAUAACUAGUUCCUCAGCUGGCUGGAUCUUUUAGAACUCCUACCCAAACAUAAAGAUAUUAGAGUACUGGCUAGUGGAUCAUACUUGAGUUGGACAUCUUUAGGGCAAUGAUAUCUAACCCAAUUUAAUCAAUAUAUAUAGAACUUUUGAACUAAGAAAAGACGAUAAAAUAUAUCAAUGGUCUCUCAACUUGUUAAUUUGAUUUUGAGAAGAGAACUUUCAUUUGAUAAUUUUUGUUAAUCCAACUGUAACUUUAUAUUCCGAAUGAAGAUCAUUCACUAGAAUCUGAUGAGAAUGUUGGAAUCCCCUAUAUGUCCUCCACAUAAGCCCUUUUAAUCCCAAUCAACAAGGAAAACCCACUUUAAAAUUUUUAGAAAAGAAAUGAGGUCCUUAUUGCUAAUUUCGAAAUACUAAAGACCACAAUAUAUAUUACAGAAAGCCAUAGAUUUAGAACUUCUAUUGUAAUUAAUCUUUGAUCCUAAUUGGCAAUAUUGAGCUGCAAAGUCAAAAAGAACCCCCCCCCAAAAAAAAAAAAAAAAAGUUUCCACUCUAUCUCCCUUUCUCUCUCUCUCUCAUUCUUAUGUUUGUCUUACUCCUCUCACUCUCUCAUUCAAGUUCAACCUCAGAAUGAGAACAAAAUAUUUGCCUCUUUUGCAAGAGAAAUCAGGAGGGGAAAAAAAUGAAGUUUUAUCUAACUGUGGAAUCAAAAUUUUAAAGGGGAGAUUUUCUUUUGGAUUGAAACUGUCUGAGAAAAUCAGGUUGGAUACUAUUAUUAAGAUCCAAAGGUGUUCAAGGGGUUCUUGGAAGGAAGCGUGUGAAGGAACUUGCAGCCAUAACAAGAUAGAGCACAGGACAGUAUUGAAGGAAAUAUUGGAAUGCAUUGAGGAAUCCAAAGGAGUUGGGAAGGUGAAUGAAAUGCUCAUGAGUUUUCUGUUUUGGUUGGAUUUCGUGCACAGGCAAAACUAGGGAUUGCAGGAGAUUUAAUUAAAAAGGCAAAUAGGUUGCAGUAGUUAGUAGAAGAGAUUUUUAUUGUUGAUAAAGCACAAUUUAACCAAAUAUAGAUGAUGAAUAACAAACUAUAACAUAAUUAAACCAUAAUGCAGUAACCACUUGGAUAUCCAGUAUUAAUGAUUACCUAUUGCAAUGAUUCAAAUCCCAAACUUGACAUUUACACCUGUACAACUAGUAACCUAGAUCCAAGGUCUCCUUCAUAAGCACAUAGUUGAAAAGGCACAAGAUACUUUGGAGUUUCAUCAACAGAUAUCACUCUUAAACCGAUUCUGGUUUUCAUUGAUUGACAUACUAUGUAUCAAAGUCUUUUAUCUAUAACUGGUUUCCAAACCACUGAACACUAUUGUCUAGGCAAACGUUCAGAAGGAACAAAACAAUCGAACAAACAUCUAGUCGUUGAUCUUAUUCAUAGACCCAAUGCAAGCCAAUUAAAACAAUUAAAAAAAAUAUAGCAAAUAAACAAAACCUAUAAACAUGCACAUUAGAAGCAUCAUCCAUCUCUUCGAACCCAGUUAUGCAAAUCGACUCAAUCUCAUCAUAGACUCAUUAAUUCAACAAUAUGGCCAAUAUAUAAAGGGCGGGGGGAGGGGGGGUGGGAUAAACAGACAACAAUAGAUUUCGAUAAUAAUACCUGAUGGAUUGGUGGGUACAUAGAAUUGGUGCAAACAGGGCAUUCUAGCAACUCAUGGACGCUGGUGGCCGGAACGAUUCCAGUGGGACCGACUACAUUGUUGGCGUUAUUGUUAUUAUUGGCGCCGGCAUUGUGAGGCUUUGAUGAAGAAAAUUGAUGGUGAUGAUGAUGAAGAUUGUGGGGAUGGAUCUCAUCCUCAUCCAACCCAUCAGAGGAUGAAACACACUCGCUACCGUCCAACUCCAUAAUGGCCUUUUUUUUCCAAUCUAAUACAAUCUCCAGAAAAUCAGAAUUCUUUCCUUCUCCCUUACUUUUUUUUCUCUUAAAAUAUCCUUACUUUCUUCGCUUUUCGUUCGCUUUUUCUUGUGUUUUCUCGGGAAAGUUUUACGAGAACAAAGAGAAGAGAAAGAGGGGAGAAGGGGGAGAGAGAGGGAGAGAGACAGAUAGCUUCCGAAGAACCAAACAACUCCCUUCUCUCUCUUCUUUCUCUCUCUUUUCUUUGUUUGUCGAAAAGAAGUUUCCUUUUCUUCGUUGGGCCUUUUUUUAUUUAUUUUCCUUUCUCAACUUUCUCUCUUUUCUAAGGUUUCCUAUAGGCUCAAAACAGAGCGGGAGAGAGACAAGGCUGGCCCUCCAAACUCAUCAUACACCUCCCUCUUAAUCUAUUUUUUCCAACAAAAACCAUUAUUAUUUCUAUUAAAGAAAGAAAUACAAUACAAUACACUGUUAUAUAAAUAAAUAUAAAACAAACUACUAAUAAAUUUACUAUUUAAUUUUUAAAAAUUAUCAUUAUCAUUAUUAAUUAUUCAGUAUUUCAAUUUUAAAAAAUUUAUUAAAAUUUUUUUUCUAUCAACAAAAUAAUUUUUUUAUUCAAUUUUAUCAAUUUUUAUUAUUAAUAGAAGAUUAAAUUUUUCUUUUUUUCCUUUUUCUUCUUAAAACAAAAGAGAUUUUAAUAAAUUUUUAAAAGUAUAACAAUUCACUUACUAAUAAUACCAAUAUCAGAAACUAAAUAAAAAUAUUUAUGAAAGGUAAAUUAGAUUUUAGAAGUUUUUCUUUUUCAUUUAUUUGAAAAAAAAUUUAAAAUUAAUAAAUUUUUAAAAAUAUAAAAAUUAAUUUAUUAAUAAUAUUAAUAUCCAGAAAUUAAAUAAUAAAUUCUCCAAAAAAAUAACAUCAAUUAUUUUAAUCCGAAGAGUUUGGUCCAGUGUUAGGUUACUUACCUUUUCUUUCAAUGGACUAGGGGUGGAGAAAAUCCAAUUGAUGCAAUUGGGCAAUAGAAUAUAACACGUUGACAAUUCUGUAAUUUACCCUCAUUGGAAGAUUUAUUUCUGAAAUGGAAUCUGAGAUUAUAUUUAUUAAUUAAAAGGCCACUCACUAUAUCUUAGCUUUGAUUUCUGGGUUGGGUUAGUUUUGAUUUCUGGGUUGGGUUUUACUUAGAUUGCUGAGUAACAGUGGGAUUAGCACAUUAGAAUAUUUCUGCUCAGUGAACCAUGUUUGUGUUCUGUACAUAAAGCUUUGUAGUCACGAAUGUAUCAAUUUCCUGCAACUUGCAACAAGAGAAGAUUUGCAGGCAAUGAGCUCUUGCUAAAAAAGGGGUGUCUUUCCUACACAAAUUUUUCUACAUAUAUCAGAAUAAACACCUAUAAAUCACACAAUGACACCAUUGUUUAUUAGUCUUCGAGUUGUUCUUCCUGUGUUUCUAACUCCUCAUUCGUGUCAUCCCCUCACAUGCCAGUGUUCCCUCAAGAUCUCCGAUUAUUCGAGCUAUUCGAACUUCAAGACCUCUUUGGACUUCCUGAGAAAGAGUUCUUAUGCUAGCAGUAAAGCGCUGCAUGUCAAAGUGGACAGACUUGUCAAAAUCUUCAGGGACCUCUGCAGUUCCAGAAGCAAUCUUGGACUGAACUUCCAUCAAUUUCUGUCCCGUUGCAACGAUAUAUCUCUGAAGCUGAAAUGUUUCUUCAAGAAAAUGCCCAAAUGUGUUGGUUCCUCCUUUUGUUCUUAAUGAACUGGAAUCUCCAUUUUUGUCUAUAUCAUUAUCAUGCUGUGAAUAAUUGAGAAAAUGGGGCAAACUAGCACCGGUGAAAAAUGGACUAGGGAAACUGAAAUAAUAAAUUUAAGCUUCGAAACGUUUUAAGAACGACAUAAAUGUUCAUCAAAAGCAGGUAUGGGAUGCAAAUCUAUACAUGCCCAGGAAAACUAAAUAAGAAACAAAAUCAACCAAGACAUCGUAAUUCCUGAAAUGCACCAAAUUAGGAUAGAGCUUACCAUUCUCCUGCAAAGUUCAUCAGUCUUGCCUUGAAGAGAUUGGUACCUGCUGAUUUGUUUAUUAAGCAAAGACAACAGUAAUUGGAAGCCCUUUAUCUCAUUCUGGAUAAUGUCAUUGUCUUCUGUCUGUUCCCCAAUUUCUAGCUUUCCUGUCAGUCUCUCAAGCACCAGGAGUUGCUGCUUCAGCCUCUUGAUCUUGUAAGAAACUCCAAGAGCUUGAAGAUCCAUCCUCCAUGGUGAUUUUGUUGUGUUUUCCAAUGCCUGGCUAACCAAUGGUGACUUCUGAACAGUAUCAACCUCCACUGGACUUGCACUUUUGUCCUUCAUUGAAGCCUCAUUAGAUACAUUCUCCUCUUCAAACUCCUUUUCAGGAGAUUGAGCCAGGAAAGUAACAUUUUCAGACUGGUUAUUGGAGGUCACUUCCCGUUCUUUCUUUGCAUCUUGCUCUUUAGACAUUUCCAUUAAAUCUGCUUUUGUUUCGUGCUCCCCUACUGCAGGUUCUCCCUUUACAAUCUUAACAUUGGAGGCAUCAUGUGCUAAUGUUGGACCAGCUACAGAUGGAUGUACGGCUGUCUUGCAACUAAUAUGAGGUUUUACUUUAAAGAAUUGCUCUUUCAAAGCUUUUAGUUCUUCUUGUCUUUCCAAUGACAAUGCUUCCAAUUUCAUAUUCUCAUGCCUGAUCUGUGACAACUCCUGGGUCAGUCCUUCCACAUGAGACUGCUGUCGCUUUGUUUCUAUUUUCAUGCUUAGCAUUCGCCAAUGGAAAGCUUCUAAUUUCUCAUCUUUGAGUCUCAUCUGUUCUGCAAAAGCAUCCAUUUCCAAAUGAUGCCUCUUCUCAAUUGUGGCUGCAUACUUUUCUGCUUCUGAGCGCACCCACACUUCCAACUGCUUGAUGUCAGUUGUAAUUGCUUCAACAGCAAGAACAGUUAAGGAAUAUAAACAUAACAAAAAGAUCUUGCAAAGACAUAUGAUCAUAUCUUAAGCAUAAGGACUUGAUAUGAAGGAAAAUUAUAUCAAUUAUGUCUGUAAAAAAUAGCCAUAUCCAAUACUAAUAAAGCAGGAUAUGUUCAUUUGGAUGCAAAUAAAUGUGGGAUUUCUUCCCCUACCUAGUUCAUCAUUUAUUUCUGGUGAAUCGCUCUCAGAAAAUGGAGUAAAAACUUCUGCACCCUUUUGGAACUCAGAGUUCUUGCACUCAAGAAUAAAAUCAGCAGGUUGUGAUAUCCCCUUCCGAAUUUGUGAGGCCCCUCUACCAAUUGAAGGAUGAUCUGACCUUGAAUUGGCUUGGUGAGCAAACAUACUUCUCAAUGAAUGUCUCUCAUGUUUAGACUCAGGCACUGCUCUCCAGCUUUCUGUUUCGCAUUCAGCUUGCUUCCUCUUAGCCUUUGAUAGUGUAGCCUCCUUUAGAAGCAUUUGUCUCUCAAUUGUAUCCACUUUGGAUUUCCUGAGCAUUGCAGACAGUAUUUUAUCUUUCUGCUCCAAAUCUUUACGCAUCUUUACCAAUUCUGUUGAAAGUUUUUGGGUCAACAGGACUGACUCCUCUUUUCGUUCCAAGGCCAAAUUAAUUUCCUUCCUUUUGGCUUCAAGUUGCCUAAGUGCUCUACCCAGCUUUGCUUCAAGCUGUCGAUGGUUGGACACAAGCUCAAGAAAAGCAGUUUUAUGCUUCCAAAGAUCAGUAGAGUAAUCUUGAGCUUCUCGCUUUGCAGUUUCUCUCAACUCUUCAGAAACAUUUUCAGCCUUCAUCAACUUGUCCUCUAACUCCUUCCUCUUUUGCUCCUUUUCUUCUAAGGCCUUGUCCUUAUCCUGCACCAGAAGCUCCAUCUCCUUCAAUUUAUCAUUUAUUUCAGAAAUAGCUGCUUCUUUCAUUUUCUGAAGAACCCUCAAUUCAUCCAUAAGUGCUCCAGCAUGCUGCCUGAGCUUCUUCCGCUCAAUCAACCAUCUCUGCUCCUGUGAUGCAAAUAUGCCAACAACUUUCUCGUUCGCCUUUGCAUCUUCAUGCCUUAUUUGCUUUAGCUCUUUGAUCUCUUUCUCUGCAGCCUCAAGCUUAUGAAGAAGCUUAUUCUGUUCACUAUUUGCUCCUCCUCUCUGUAUUCUCCAUACAAGCAAUCCUAAGAGAUGGGCACUUCCUUGAAGCAUUUUCUCACAUAAUUCAGACCAUUUUUCUUCUUCCUGAUGUGGUCCUGAUAAGACUUUGAGAGCAAAGAAAGCACAAGAAACACCAAAAUACAUUGGAUAGAAACUAUUACUCUUAUCUUCUGAGACAAUUAAAUGUGAACUAGAGACCCCUUUUUCAUCCAUUAUUGAGGAACUACCUUCUCUUCCUACAGAAAAUAUGAGUAGAAGGUAUUAGAAUAUGGAACUCAAUUAAAAGGAUUAGAGAAGGAAAAUAACAUUAAAAUUCCAGUUGUUUGGUUUAAACAAGAAUUUUUUUAAAGAAAAUAAUUUAGUUAGAUGUAUCUCCUGAAAAAAUUCUAGUUAUAUGAAAGACAUCCCUAGUGGUAUGGUACAAAUAAUUGAGGUCUAAAGUAUCACCACAAUUGAGAAACAAUAAUGCAGACUCGCCGAGUACACUUAAAAGCAAACAAGAGAACACAAAGAAAUUCGAUAAAAGAUCAUUUCAGUAACUUACACAAGGUCAGAAACAAAGGGGCAACAGCUUCUUCAACUCAAAACCAGAGCUCACAAAUUUGAAGGGAAAGAAAUUGCAGCCUUAAAGACAGCAAUGUUGUGUUUCAAUGAUGACCUCCAGGACCACCAACUUCACUCAGAUGCAGAAAAACCUAUACAGCAUUUAUGAUUUAGAAGUCAUCCAUCAAAAAAUUUGGCCAGAUAAUGCCAAAAGCAUGUGUAAUUUCUACACGUGUGUUGGUUAAAAAAAUAAGGAUAUACUGUAACAGAAUAUAAGAAAACUAUCAUAAGUAUCCCUGCUUUUCAGUGAAAAGAGUGACCCAACCCAAGUAAUCCCCCAUUUCCACUACUUUCUCUUCCCCACCAUCCUUUCCUUUUCUCUUCCUUUCCUUGUUCUCAGGCCAUGACUAUUGUGGGAAACAAAGGCACUAGAUUCCUGGUAGUUUGUCUCCAUACUAAAUAAAAAACAACAGCAGGAUUUGGAGCAUUGUAUUUUUCCAGAGUCGGUUGCCUGUCAAAAUAUCAUAUGCAGAAUCAAAAUAUAACCAAAAAACUAUCGAGAGUUACUAAAAAGUUAUAAUAAUUCUCUGCAGUUAUUAUAAAUUAAGUUUCCCACUUGUGAUUUCUUACUUUUGGCUCUGGGAUUAAAUGGGAAGGAAAAAUUUCCAAGUUGAUUACACCUCUCACCAACCUCUAAUAAAUUAGUCAAUGUCUUGGAUGGUCUCAACUCUCAAAACAUGUUAAAUAAUUGAACCUCAUAAGCUUAAAUAUAAAUGGACCCCAUUAUCAGGUCAUUUCUUCAAUGGUUACUGCACUGGAAUAGGCAAAACCCAAGAAGAUUCUCAUAGUGAAAAUAAAUUUCCCAUCAUUAACAACUUGAUGCAAAGUGGAAAAAUGGGGGAAAAAAGAAACCCACCCCUCCUCCCACUUUCAUCAACAAACACAUGAAAACUCAGAAAAAAGAAACCCUUCUCCUUGAUUUUCCUUCUUAUCUGGUUAAACUCAGGGAUGAUUGCAUCCACGCACGUACCAAAUAUGCAGAAAAUUAAUGGUAGGCUACUUUUAUGUAUAUUUACCUGAAAAGGGGGUAGGUCAAGUAUACCGCAAUUGUUAAGAAGCAAAUGGUGCAAAUAGAAAAAGCAAGCGAUCAAUAAAGUCGCUGUCAAUUCAUAGUCAUCAUGAUGGAGCCACCUGAGAAACCAAGCCUUCAUGGGUCCAAAGAGAGAUUGCAGAUUGGCCUCUCAAUAACUCAAUUUGCUUCCCUGGUUAGACCUGUAAAGCAGGAAACUUGUUCAUUAAACCAAUUUUUCUGUAAAGCGAUUUAUACAACAAUAUUGACCACCCACAAUAUGCUCCAUUUCCAAGAUCUGCCCUUAGAAUCUGGUCUUCAUGGCGUUGGAUUCGUUUGAUUACAAUCGAAGGCAAAUUAGUAUUGCAGUUUCGCAAAAUUAAUUAUUUAAUUUUUGCAACAAAAAAAAAGAACUAAAAUUUUGAAUAUUUUUUGUAUCAACUCUCUAAAUAAAAAAAUUAAACAAGUAUGGUUCUUUUUUGUCGUGUGGAUUGGGUUAUUUAUCAGAAGUAAAAUAGAUUUCUGGUUUACUUUCUCUUGGAAAUUCUUGACAAAUCUUUUCCUUGGAAUCUUUUGACACCAAAUAUACUGAAAUGAAGCAGGUCAAACGCUAUAAUUUUUUUUAACAUAGUAAAAAGUUAUAAUUUAUUUAUCAAAACUCUAAGAGAAAUACAUCUGCAAUUAAAAUAAAACUUAAAUAAAAAAGGAAUAUAAAUUAGAAAAUUUUGGGGUCAUUAACAAUUUUGGAAAAUUUUGAUUGUGAUAUUGUAUAAGGUUUGAUUGAAAAAUUAGGUGGAUUGAUGAAGAGGGCCCCUUAUGAGUUGUGAAGCUUCUAACUAAUAAUUCAGAUGGAUCAUUUUCAAUAUGACAAUUGCCAGCAUUAUAUACAUAAAUUCAGCUUAUUCAAAUUUCACUCCACAAUUUAUUUUUCUACCCAGAGAAAUAUUUAAGCCAAUAAAGAAGUGCAGAUUUUAGAAAAUUUGAAUGAUACUCUUUUUUUUCUUUUUUUUCCUAUUUCUGUAAAAAAGUUUGUAUUAAAAGUUGGUCUUGCCCGAAAAACAACACAUAUCCCUCUCCAGUUAUAAAGCCCACAGGCUUAAUCCAAAAGAAGAGCUCUAGCCUAGCCAAACAACUGUUCAUCCCAAUGCAUCACACCCUGCCAAUGACCAAAUGGACCUGCAAUGAGAUAAACAAACAGCAAAACUAGACAUGGCAAAGAAAGCAAGCCAAAAGCCAAGACACCCAUAAGCGCAAAACACAACAUGCUGGCCACGCACACAGAGUACCCAGCAUCUAAAAGGGAAAUCAUCGGCAGGAACACAGAGUACCCAACAUGCUGGCCACGCACACAGAGUACCAAACAGCCAACCAUAUCUAGUUCCAAAUGAAUGAUAAAAUUCAUAAUUAAUAAACCUGCUAGCAACUAGUGGUGCCAAUAGCCUCUAACAACAUAAGAAGAGAACUUUAGCUUUUAUCUUUUUUAUAUUUAAAUCUAGAUUUAAAGUUAAUUACUGAAGCUAUAUCGAACCAAUUUAAGGUAAAAAUAAAAAAUAACCGAUUAAAUUGAUAUAUGAAAAAUUUUAAGAACUAAAAAAAAAAAAAAUACAUGUUUCAGUUUAUCAUGAGUUAACGUAAAUUUAACAUUAAAUAAAAUAUUUUAAUUUAUUUUUUAUAUUAUUAGCUAUCCAAAUAACUAUCGCCUAUAAGGUGAAAAAAGGGCAAAUAACUAUCCACUUUAAAAAAUUACUGCAAAUAAAUAUUUAAAUUAUGCAUCUCUUUGAUUAUAUGUAGUAUUAAGAAUUUUCUUUUUAAUUAGUAAGUGGGAGGAGAUGAGAUUCUAAGAUGCACAGUCAUGAGGCUUUCAUUAUAUACCUUAUUAACCCAUUCAACAGGUGAUAGGUUAUGUAAAUUUCAAAUUUGUUUUAGUAAUAUAUAGCAUAUGUAUGAUUAAUAUUUGAUGUAUUGAUAUAUUUUUUGAUUUUAUAAUUGGGUUUGGCUGUUUGAAAGUAACUGAGAAAGAGGAAGAAGAAAGUGAAGAGAGAAGAGGGUUAAGUAAGGGAACGAAUAGGCUUCAAUUUCUCAUUAUCAUCAAUGGUUUUUCUUUGCUUGCUUGAGUUUUAUGGUCGUUGCCUUCCCCUGCUGCUUGGCAAAGGAGGGUUAGUUUUGUUUGGGGGCUAUCCAUUUGGGUCGUCCCUCACUAUCGGUGAAUAGUUUUUCUUCUUUUAUUGUUUUGGUUGCUGUCUUUUGUUCUUUUUCUUUUAAGGUCUUCGGCGCUGAUUUGUAAGGGUUUUCUUAGGUGGAGACUUUGUUCUGGGAGGGUGCUUUGGUCUACUUGUAAGAGAGGGCUACUUAUUCAACUGCAUUUCUUCUCUGUUUGUAUUGAUCAGAACCAUUUUGUAUACUGCUCAAAGGAUUUUUUGUACUUGCUUGUCAUCUUUUUCAAUAUUCUCUAUUUCAUAAUCUUUUAUCUUUUUUAUUUUAAAAUUAUUAUCUAUUUUUAUCAUUUUACAUAUGAUUUAUAUAUAAUUAUUAUAACUCUAUUUUAUUUUAUUUUCAAAACAAUCUCUUAUUAAUUAUUAAAAUAUAUUUUAAUAUUUAAUAUAUUUAAAAUGAAUUUAAUUAUAAAAUUAAUAAAAUAUAUUUUUAUCAUCUGUUGAUUCCUCCAGCCUUUACAAUCUCUAUGUGGGCGAGGGAAGGCCUUCCUCCCUCUGACUUAGAUAUGGAUUCCUUUUUCUUGCCGUUGGGCCGACGCGCACAUAGUUUUUUGAUAUAUCUUCUAUGUCAACUAUUCUUUUAAAUAGGGUUCUUUGGGCUACUGUUUUUAUUUUUAUUUUUAUUUUUUUUGGAUGUGCUUUGUUGUUGCAUGUUAUUUUUGCGUAGGUUAAACUUACCCUACUUAUUAUCCUACAUCUGUUGCUUUCAAUUCCAGGAAGAUUUAAAUAUGGUCCAAAACCAAAUAUCUAUUCUUUCGCCAAUUCUCAUCUCUGGAUGGUAGAUGCAAUAGAGGGAUCAAGGACGUUUUAGGUCCCUGCUCUUUUCUCUCAAUUUGAAAAUUCAUACAUAAAUGAGGAAAAGCUACAAUGGUUGCUUUGAAGGUCAAUUCGGAUUAUACCCAUUUCUAGCUCUAGGUCUUUUAAAUUUAUUUCAUCUUGAAACUUUUUAAUAAAAAAAAAAUACUAAAUAAAAAUACAAUGAGCGACUAUAAAUGAUAAUAAUCAUACAAAAAACUCUCUACCCGAUCCAUAAAAUAACUUCAUAAUAAAUUUUCACUAUAUUUAAUUAAUUUUCAAAUUAUUCUUAUGCACAUUUUUUACCUAAGCAUUCAUUUGUUUUGAAGUUCACUUCUCAAGUAACUUAAUUGGAUUAGUAAAAACAACUUAUUUUCCUUAUAAAUAAACUAAUUAAUAGAUUUUUUAUAAAAUUUAGUGAUAUUUUUUAAAUUAUUAAUAUUAUAUAGUAAAAUAUUUAAUGGCUAAUAUUAAUAUAAGAACUAAUUAGUAUUUUUAAAAAAAUUUAAUUGACUUUUUAAUAUAUUUUUUAAAAUUAAAAAAUUAACUAAUAAAUUUUAUCAUAAAUUAUGAAUUAAAUUUUUUUCCUUCUAAUACGAGAGUGAAUUCCCUCCCACUUUCAAAUAUCUCUUUUUCUAAUUUCUUUAUUUAGUUACAAAAUGAUAAAUCAAUAAAAAGGUGGGAGAGACUUGUGCUUUCUGUUUUGUUUCCUAUGGUGCCUAAUCUUAUGUAUUGAGUUAUAUUUGUACAUAGAUAGCUAUCUUCCAAAUUGAUAAAACUUCUUUAUUAGUUCAUUAUUUGUCUAAAGGUAAUAACUCAUGGAAUCGAGUUUCAAUUGUGUGAAUGAAUUGUCGAAUAGAACACCUCAUCUUUUUUUUAUCCAUAUUUAUUUUAAUGGAUGGUUGGUCCUUAAUCUCAAUGCUAGUAUGAUUACAAAGAGUAGCUCAUGCUUGUUGCGGCUCCAAUUCGACCAAAUAGUGGUGGGUGUUUUUCUAUUUUACUUUGAAUAUAAAUUUUUAAUGAAUUUAUUAAGGUUCAUUUUUUUUUCUUAUUUUUUUUACUCUAAAAAUAUGUGUUCCUCUUAUGAUCGAAAGAGUUUUUUUUUUGACAAUACCUUUAAUUGAUUUUAUAAUAGAAACGGUCUAAAUAAAAAAUAAAAAUUAUAAUUUAUAGAAGUUAGAUGAUUUAAUUUUGUUAUGUUUAUAAUGCUUAAGGCCAUGGAGAUUCCACCAAUCUAUGAGCUAUCAACAUUCGAUUAAAAAAACUCAUAUGUGAUGUUAAAAAAUCUCUUAUUUUAUGUCAAAUAUUUUCUUUUUAAUUUUUUUGUUAUUAUUAUUAAGGUUAGGAGGUUUUGGACGUUCGGAACCCGGAAAUGGAGAUGAUAUCCUACAGUUCGAUAGCUGCGGGUACUCAGAACCCGAAUAUGGUACAAGUCCCCGUAGUAUGACGUGGAAAAUUAGAGUGAAAAAAGAAGGCACGUCGGAGUUGAUUAUUCCUAACAGAGUGAUUAUUAUUCCUAAUAAUCAUAAUAAUCGCCAUCGUAUUGCGCAAGUUUACGAGCAAAGAAAAUAAGAUCAUCAUCAUGGUCUGCUUAAAAUAUUUAUGUCCCCCUUAACACGCGCCCCUUUCUCUCUCUACACGGACACGUAGGGAGGCAGAGAGAGAGAACACACCCAAAAUUACUUCAUUACUCCCUCUGUCUUUCCCUCUUCCUGCUCUCUCUCUCUCUCACCCUCUGUUUAGGUUUAGGGUUUCGGAAUAUUUGCUUCUCUCACCAUUUCAUUUCCUAUUGGUUGAACUAGGAUUCUUUUAUCACUGCUGAUAGUCUCGAUUUCUUUCAAAUUAGGUUGUUAGAUGGAAGAGGAACGAGGAAAUUGAUGCAAGCUGAGUUGUGAUUGUGGUUUAUUUCUAUUUUUUUUAUUGGAUUCGGAUCAUGGAGAACGGUAACCAUGGGAAUUUAGCAAAUAAAAUGUCGGGAUUGUCGCUGAAUGAUUCAGCUUCGUUAUCUUCCAAUCUUAAUUUUGAUAUUAACAAUAGUACGGCCACUACUACUGCAACCACAGCCAACAACAAUAAUGAUAGCUUGUUUCAGGUUAUGAAAGCUGUAGAAGCUGCUGAGGCUACCAUCAGACAACAGGUAUGUUUUUACGUUAAAUGAAAUUAUGGGUAUGAUUUGGUUGUCUUUGUGUAUGUAUGGUUGAAACUAUCUUUCUGCAAUACGUACAACACAAAAUCUGCAAUUGGAAACUGCUACAUGAUUUUCAAUAGAUCGGUGUUUCCCAUCUUUUAAUCUUAAUAUGUUUAUUCACUUGCGUAUGUAUGUAUGUGUGUGUGUGUGUGUGUGUGUGUGUGUCUUAAGCAUAAAUGUGGCCAAUAAUGGUCGCAUUGUUACUGUUCUUAAGCAUGAAUGUGGCGAAUAAUGGUCGCAUUGUUACUGUUUUAUUUUGUUGAUUUUGUCAUGUAAAGCAAUACAGCUCUGCUGAUAACAUUGUGCAUUGCACUCCAGGUAGAGGAGAAUAUGCGAUUAAGGACUGAACUUCAGAAAAAAAUUCAGGAACUUGAAAAAUACGUAAGUGCUUCUAAUAGUUUCUGCUACUCUAUCCAGUAUGAAUUGAAUUGCCAGCUGAUUAAAUCCAAGUAAUUCCUUGUUAGCCAAAGAUAUGGCUUAUGCACUCUUUUCUUUCUUUUUUUCUUUUUAUUUAUUAUUUAUUUUACUUCCUGGGAGCAAGUUAUUAUGCAUGGAAUUUUAUUUUGCUACUGCAACUAGUUUGGGUUUAAGAAUAUGGUUUUGAUCUGUUGGACAUGCAUUCUUUAUUUAUCUCACUGGAUAGGUUAGUAGAUAUUUCUACUUUUUGGUUUAAUUGGAUAUAUAUUUGUGGUUGGAUGCAAUAAAUGGGUGACAAUUUCAAUAUAUUCAUUCAUAAAAUAGCAUCUUUUUUAUAUUGUAGCAUGACCUAUAACUCAAAAACAAACUUGAAGUCAUAUAAUAUUAACUUGGACUUGAUGAAUUCCUCGUGAAAAUAUACUGAUUUUCAAGGUUAGUAGAUUUUUCUAGUUUGGUCCCGUUGUAGGGGAUUGAACAAUUGACAGUUGCCCCCAACAGCUCAACCAAACACUCUGUAGUUUAAGUGUUUAACAUUUUCUUGGGGAGCUUGGGUUGGGAGUACUGAUUUUUCCUUUCUUGGUUGGGAGUACUUGUUUUCCCUUUCUUUCAAUUUUUGGAGGGUGGGUAUGUGGUUGGUGAGCAUAUAUUGUGGAUCUGUCUUAUGUUAACAGUGCCAGGAAGCAAUAAUAAUAAUAAUAAUAAAAUCAACUUGACCAAGAUUUGGUUCCAAACUGGUUGGGUUCAAUUGUAUGGAUUCAUUUUGUUCAUUUCACUUGGUUUAGUGCUACAUCUUCAGAAAGCUCUUCUCUCUACUUCCUCCAUAGCUCUUAGGUUUUCCCUCCUUUUCUUAUAGUUUACUACUUCAAUAUUUUCAAUCUCUUUCGUGCUGGUGCAUUUGCUGGUCUAUAAUUCCUGUUUUCUUUCUCUUAACUUUUUUUCUGUAUUAAGUAUCACUUUCAUCUUCCUAUGAAUAUGUUAAUCCUUAUCUAUUUCUUUGUGUUUUUCUUUUUCUUUUCUGUAUAUUCAUCUUAACACUCUCAUUCUUGCUCAUGCUAAACAAAGAAAGCUCCCAGCUAUGCUGAAAAAAAAAGAAAAUUUUUUUUUUUGAGUUCGAAACUUAUUUCUCAUUCAACUGCUGGUAGUUUUUAAUAAGAACUGUUAUUAGCUGCAUUAAGCACAUUUGCCUUCAAAUUAAUUUUUUCCAUUGUAAUUUUUAAUUGCCAUAUGCCCAUAUCAUUGACUAUGUAAUUCUUGAUAUUUGCAAUUGAGAAUGGUUGUCAUGAGCUGAUUUUUUCUUUUCUCUUCCGAGUUAUAAUUCAAUUCUACCCCCCCCCCCCUUUUCAUUUUUUCUUUUUUUCUUUUUUUCUUUUUUUCUCACCUUUUCUUGCAUCCUCUUUCCAUUUUAAUAAAACGAAAGCUAAGGUGUUGGGGAUUUUCAUUUCACCUUACUGCAUGUUUUAGGAAACAGACAUUAUUGAUUAUACGAGGCUAACAUAGGUCUGUUUAAAUGCUGCAUAUGCUCUAAUUUGGACAAAACGAGGCUCAAUUGCUCAAUCUUGAAUUAUGUAAAGGUCUACUUAUGCCAAAUUGAAAAAUGAGCACCCAGUUGUCUUUGGUGGGAAUGAAUAACCUAAGAAGCUGAUAGAAUUUCUCUUCAACAUAAGAAACAACCAUAUUGAUAUUAUCUGGCAUCAAGAGCUCAAUUCAAAGCUAUUAUAGUUUUUGAUCCAAACUGAACAUCAUCUUACAGCUGAUCAAACUUUGUAUCUCUUCACAAAAAAUGUCAGAAAUUACAUACUAGAUUACAUGACUUAAGAUUUGAUACAACAGAUUUACUUAUACAUCUUCAAAGCUGUGCUGUAUCACCAAAAGGAAAAAAGGAGAGAGGAAGAAAGUGAAUAAGUUGGCUCCUAUACUACUCACUGAACUAGGAUUAGAGAUGUCAAUAAGGGCGAACUCUAACUGUACACUACUAUCCUGAGCUGUAUAUCUGAAAUGUUAAAAUGAAGGGGCAAGAAUAACUUCUUGGUGAAAGGAUAAAUACAUAACUACGGAGUAUAUAAUAAAAUUCAGUAUUAAACCAUUCAACUGGAUAAAUAUCAUAGCAUCAUUGUAAUUCAGAAAACAAGAAAAUCCAAAAAUGUAAACAAUCUAUAAGUCAUUAGCACCUAGGUGCAAUUCCAUCCAAUAUAAUUGUCAAACUAAAGGAUCAUACAAUUUGUAUGGCUUCUUAGGUGCAAUUCCAAUAUAAUCGUCAACCUAAGCGCUCACAUCAAUCAUUCCACUGUCGUAAGCAUGCACAGAGCUGCCUCCAAAAGGGACCAGCUAGUAUUCCCCAAAGGCUACAAUGACAUCAAAUGCCGCCCUAAGGAUAAUUUGAUCAUCAAUUGACAUAUAAAGGGUGCAUACUGAGAGUGAGUUUAGAGCAUUUAUUCAGCUGUAGUGCUGUACUAAGUCAUUGCAUUUUAUCUCAUUGAAUCAACAUAGCAUUGUCUAUUUCCAAAGUUUAUCAAACUGAUUGAAUAAUGCUCAAGUCAUCCUUGAACCAUUUAUUCCAAAUGUUGCAUUGUGAAGCAUAUAUAUCAUAUAUAGAUAAUAAUCAUUGCUGUAAAAUUUUCUACUCGCAAGCAAAAUUUAAGCUAGAACAAUCUAGCUGACAAGAGCACCAGUCUUUCUAUCUUAGAGAUUGGAUACUCUCUAACGGAUAAAUCUGGAAAUUCAAACAUCAAUGCAAGAAUAAUGAGCCUAAAUUGCUAUGUGAAAUGCAUGAAAGGUGUUCUAGCCUUCUAGGCUUCUAAUAUAAAAUUCAGCAGCAUUUACCAAAUGCGUUUCUCCAAAUCACAUACAUACAACAACUUAGUGAAAAAAAAAACCAUCAUUGGGUCUUAAUGAAAACAUCACUUCAACAAAUAUCAUACCAUCGACCAAUUUAAAGAAUUUUUUCUUCCAUUCUCUAAGUCAAGUGUUAUCAAGAAGCUCCAAAAUUAUAAUUUAGGCAUAUGUGUCACAAUUAAUAAAUAAAAAUAUCAUUUCAUAAAUUUCAUAUUCAAAUAGAUUUUCCUUUUGUCUCUAUUCUUAUUAGGGUGGUGACUCCUACUUUUCUAUGCUCUUUAUUGAGCAAAUAAAAAGUGGGGGUCCUGUGAUAGUGCUAUGGAAAGACUAGAUCCAAACCAGUUGGUGCGCAUCAAAACCAUGCCACCUACAAUGAUAGAAACCUAGUGAUUUGCCUUUCCUUAUAAAGUUCAUCUAUUAGAGAGUUAGGUAGGCACACACUCGGCAGAGAAGAGAGAGUGUAGCCGAAGUCCCUCUCCCAAAUUGUGUCCAUAUAGCCUUUGUGUACAAGUGUAGUUGGUCCAUGUACUUUUGUACUUUGUUUGAGUGAAUGAAAGCUCCUUUGCUAACUCUUGUGUGAUGAGUUCUUCCUUCUGCCUUUCUGCUUCUGUUGCUUCCGUUGUUCCAUACAUUGCUGUGCUGCUUGUUUAGCUCUUUUAUUGAGUUGCUUGAGGAGGUAUAAGGCUGACUUAGUCUUGGGGGAAGGCUAAGUGCCGCAUGGAUCCUUGGAGUUGGGCAAAUUUCCAAGCUCACUUGUAAGGGACGUGACAGUAAUGAUUCAACUUAGAAACCAUGCAUGUUUAAGAACCCCACUUGUAUAUAAUUAGGGCAACUUGGUAGUCUCCUCACCUAAAUUCAAGUAGAAACCUUGCAUGCUAAGCUUAUUAGAUUCGUGUGAAUCGGGUGUUUGUUUGCUCAAAGUGCAUGUGUUUACAUUAGAAUGCAUUCACUUGAUUAGAGAUUUCCUAACUAAUACACUGAGACAAAAUAUAAAAAUGCGUGUAAAGGGCUGGUGCUGGUUCUAAGCCGUAAAUUCCAAAUGAGAAUGGUGUCUAACACCUAGUUAAAUUUUUUUAAUUUUAUUUUAUAGUAUUAGUAAGUCCUUAAAAUAUAAAGUAAGCUUAAUUGUGAUAAAAUAAAUAGUGUCUUCCUAAUACCUAAAUUCUUGUAUGGAAACGAGUAAAUAUAAUUUAACUUGCCCAAAUAUGUUGAUUACCAAAAGACUGGAAAUGCAUGUAAAUUAGAGAUUUAAUUCACACAUUCAAUGGACCAAAAAAGCUAUUUUCCCCUUCAGAAACCAUGGGUUUUAGAUAUUGGCACAGCUGCUGGAAUAUUUUUUAUGGACUAUUCUGCACUUGCUGAUGAGAAAAGGAAACACAAAACCAAACUUGGAUACUUGCUCACAAUACACUUCCUCUUGCUGGAAUUUAUGAAUUGAUGAGGGAUGGGUUAAGUAGACUGUAAAGUAUUGAAAUUUAACUUUUGGGUAGUUUAGAUGACAAGAUUUGGUUGGGAAUCCAGGAAGGUGGAAAUUUCUUCCUAUUUUCUGGUGAAGUUUCAGCUGAAACUUCACUCUCUCUCUUCCUCUCCUAGUUUGAACUUUGAACCGAGACAUGGGUCUUCUUGCUUCUUAUGUUUUUCCCCUUUUUUAAAUGUGUCAUGCAUGCAGCUGGUGUAAUUGUGUAAGUGUGCAGGUUCCUGAACAUAUAAUUUAAAUGCCUAAAAUCAGUGACAAAUGCAUAAAUUUAAUUCAGAAGGUCCAAUUUAAAUAACUUGAUUAAAGAAAAUGAAAUACAUGAAAUAAAUAUAUGUUCAAAAGAGAAUUUCUUAUAAAAAGUUAAUGAGCUAUUAUAAUUAAAGUACAAUGAUUCUCGUCUCUUGAAAUUCUUAAUGACUUCAUUAUCAAUAUUUAAAAUAUAUCAUUUAAUAUAAGUCAUCGAUUAAUCAUUUAGUGGCUCAUCUCCUAUUUGAUUACAUAGUCAACUUUUAAUGAUAUUUAUUAUAGAAAAGCUCUUUCCAUUAUGGUUGUAGUAUGCAAACCCAUAAAACAAUAAUAUUGUUAAAAUAACAUAAUAUAAUUUAAUACAUAGUAUACUAUUGAAUUUUUUUUUCUAAAUUUAAAUAUUUUAACCCAUUACCUUUAACAACAUAUUUGAUAAGUAUUUUAAUUUUAUUUUCCCCAAAUUUAAAUAUCUAACCUAUUACCCAUAAAAAAUUGCUUGAUUUAUACUUAAGAUUUUUUUUUUAAAAUUUAAAUAAUCUAACACAUUAGCUAUUGAACUCAUAAUUUCUAGAUUUAAAUUUUAUUUUUCUUAAAUUUAAAUAGUAUAUGAAACCCAUUAACUAAUCUAACAUAACUCGUAAAACAAUUUUUUUCUCUAAAAAUUUAAAAUUUAUUUUCUUUAAAUGUAAAUAGUCUAACAUAUAAUUUCACACAUGAAUAGAUUAGCAACUAAGUAAAAUAAAAAAUGAUCACAUCUUAACAAUAAAAAUUGGUGUAUAAAUUUAGUAAAUAAUGAGCGAAUAACUUAAGAAAAAAAUUUUAGGCAGAGACUUGGAAUUGAAUUUUUGAAGAUGAGAAGCAAAUCUUU
rnacentral:lncRNA from 1 species